rnacentral:precursor_RNA from 13 species
CCAUCUACCAGCAUGCUGUGUGUGGUACCCUUCCCCAACGGCUGUCAAUCAUAGAUGAUAAAAUGUGAUUAACGGCUGUGGGGGAGAGUAACUCAUGACAUGUACAACAUACCAGUG